AUGCAGUCGAGCGGAACGAGUUAUCUGAACCUUCGGGGAACGAUAACGGCGUCGAGCGGCGGACGGGUGAGUAAUGCCUAGGAAAUUGCCCUGAUGUGGGGGAUAACCAUUGGAAACGAUGGCUAAUACCGCAUGAUGCCUACGGGCCAAAGAGGGGGACCUUCGGGCCUCUCGCGUCAGGAUAUGCCUAGGUGGGAUUAGCUAGUUGGUGAGGUAAGGGCUCACCAAGGCAACGAUCCCUAGCUGGUCUGAGAGGAUGAUCAGCCACACUGGAACUGAGACACGGUCCAGACUCCUACGGGAGGCAGCAGUGGGGAAUAUUGCACAAUGGGCGCAAGCCUGAUGCAGCCAUGCCGCGUGUAUGAAGAAGGCCUUCGGGUUGUAAAGUACUUUCAGUCGUGAGGAAGGCGGCGUCGUUAAUAGCGGCGUUGUUUGACGUUAGCGACAGAAGAAGCACCGGCUAACUCCGUGCCAGCAGCCGCGGUAAUACGGAGGGUGCGAGCGUUAAUCGGAAUUACUGGGCGUAAAGCGCAUGCAGGUGGUUUGUUAAGUCAGAUGUGAA
rnacentral:rRNA from 1 species